rnacentral:rRNA from 1 species
GGAAAGGCGCGCGAUACAGGGUGACAGCCCCGUACACAAAAAUGCACAUGCUGUGAGCUCGAUGAGUAGGGCGGGACACGUGGUAUCCUGUCUGAAUAUGGGGGGACCAUCCUCCAAGGCUAAAUACUCCUGACUGACCGAUAGUGAACCAGUACCGUGAGGGAAAGGCGAAAAGAACCCCGGCGAGGGGAGUGAAAAAGAACCUGAAACCGUGUACGUACAAGCAGUGGGAGCACAGAGCAAUCUGUGUGACUGCGUACCUUUUGUAUAAUGGGUCAGCGACUUAUAUUCUGUAGCAAGGUUAACCGAAUAGGGGAGCCGAAGGGAAACCGAGUCUUAACUGGGCGUUAAGUUGCAGGGUAUAGACCCGAAACCCGGUGAUCUAGCCAUGGGCAGGUUGAAGGUUGGGUAACACUAACUGGAGGACCGAACCGACUAAUGUUGAAAAAUUAGCGGAUGACUUGUGGCUGGGGGUGAAAGGCCAAUCAAACCGGGAGAUAGCUGGUUCUCCCCGAAAGCUAUUUAGGUAGCGCCUCGUGAAUUCAUCUCCGGGGGUAGAGCACUGUUUCGGCAAGGGGGUCAUCCCGACUUACCAACCCGAUGCAAACUGCGAAUACCGGAGAAUGUUAUCACGGGAGACACACGGCGGGUGCUAACGUCCGUCGUGAAGAGGGAAACAACCCAGACCGCCAGCUAAGGUCCCAAAGUCAUGGUUAAGUGGGAAACGAUGUGGGAAGGCCCAGACAGCCAGGAUGUUGGCUUAGAAGCAGCCAUCAUUUAAAGAAAGCGUAAUAGCUCACUGGUCGAGUCGGCCUGCGCGGAAGAUGUAACGGGGCUAAACCAUGCACCGAAGCUGCGGCAGCGACGCUGAUGCGUUGUUGGGUAGGGGAGCGUUCUGUAAGCCUGUGAAGGUGUGCUGUGAGGCAUGCUGGAGGUAUCAGAAGUGCGAAUGCUGACAUAAGUAACGAUAAAGCGGGUGAAAAGCCCGCUCGCCGGAAGACCAAGGGUUCCUGUCCAACGUUAAUCGGGGCAGGGUGAGUCGACCCCUAAGGCGAGGCCGAAAGGCGUAGUCGAUGGGAAACAGGUUAAUAUUCCUGUACUUGGUGUUACUGCGAAGGGGGGACGGAGAAGGCUAUGUUGGCCGGGCGACGGUUGUCCCGGUUUAAGCGUGUAGGCUGGUUUUCCAGGCAAAUCCGGAAAACUAAGGCUGAGGCGUGAUGACGAGGCACUACGGUGCUGAAGCAACAAAUGCCCUGCUUCCAGGAAAAGCCUCUAAGCAUCAGGUAACAUCAAAUCGUACCCCAAACCGACACAGGUGGUCAGGUAGAGAAUACCAAGGCGCUUGAGAGAACUCGGGUGAAGGAACUAGGCAAAAUGGUGCCGUAACUUCGGGAGAAGGCACGCUGAUAUGUAGGUGAAGUCCCUCGCGGAUGGAGCUGAAAUCAGUCGAAGAUACCAGCUGGCUGCAACUGUUUAUUAAAAACACAGCACUGUGCAAACACGAAAGUGGACGUAUACGGUGUGACGCCUGCCCGGUGCCGGAAGGUUAAUUGAUGGGGUCAGCGCAAGCGAAGCUCUUGAUCGAAGCCCCGGUAAACGGCGGCCGUAACUAUAACGGUCCUAAGGUAGCGAAAUUCCUUGUCGGGUAAGUUCCGACCUGCACGAAUGGCGUAAUGAUGGCCAGGCUGUCUCCACCCGAGACUCAGUGAAAUUGAACUCGCUGUGAAGAUGCAGUGUACCCGCGGCAAGACGGAAAGACCCCGUGAACCUUUACUAUAGCUUGACACUGAACAUUGAGCCUUGAUGUGUAGGAUAGGUGGGAGGCUUUGAAGUGUGGACGCCAGUCUGCAUGGAGCCGACCUUGAAAUACCACCCUUUAAUGUUUGAUGUUCUAACGUUGACCCGUAAUCCGGGUUGCGGACAGUGUCUGGUGGGUAGUUUGACUGGGGCGGUCUCCUCCUAAAGAGUAACGGAGGAGCACGAAGGUUGGCUAAUCCUGGUCGGACAUCAGGAGGUUAGUGCAAUGGCAUAAGCCAGCUUGACUGCGAGCGUGACGGCGCGAGCAGGUGCGAAAGCAGGUCAUAGUGAUCCGGUGGUUCUGAAUGGAAGGGCCAUCGCUCAACGGAUAAAAGGUACUCCGGGGAUAACAGGCUGAUACCGCCCAAGAGUUCAUAUCGACGGCGGUGUUUGGCACCUCGAUGUCGGCUCAUCACAUCCUGGGGCUGAAGUAGGUCCCAAGGGUAUGGCUGUUCGCCAUUUAAAGUGGUACGCGAGCUGGGUUUAGAACGUCGUGAGACAGUUCGGUCCCUAUCUGCCGUGGGCGCUGGAGAACUGAGGGGGGCUGCUCCUAGUACGAGAGGACCGGAGUGGACGCAUCACUGGUGUUCGGGUUGUCAUGCCAAUGGCACUGCCCGGUAGCUAAAUGCGGAAGAGAUAAGUGCUGAAAGCAUCUAAGCACGAAACUUGCCCCGAGAUGAGUUCUCCCUGACUCCUUGAGAGUCCUGAAGGAACGUUGAAG